rnacentral:rRNA from 1 species
AUUGAACGCUGGCGGCAGGCCUAACACAUGCAAGUCGAGCGAGCGGCGGACGGGUGAGUAAUGUCUGGGAAACUGCCUGAUGGAGGGGGAUAACUACUGGAAACGGUAGCUAAUAUCGCAUACCAUCAGAUUUGCCCAGAUGGGAGUAGAUAGUAGGUGGGGUAAUGGCUCACCUAGGCGACGAUCCCUAGCUGGUCUGAGAGGAUGACCAGCCAAACUGGAACUGAGAAACGGGCCAGACUCCUACGGGAGGCAGCAGUGGGGAAUAUGGGACAAUGGGCGAAAGCCUGAGGCAGCCAUGCCGCGUGUGUGAAGAAGGUCUGCGGGUUGUAAAGCACUUUCAGCGGGGAGGCGUUACCCGCAGAAGAAGCACCGGCUAACUCCGUGCCAGCAGCCGCGGUAAUUC